GAGCAUGUUCCCAAGGUCGGUGGCUAGAGUGGCCAUCUGAUCUCCAAGUGCGUGCAAGAGCAAUGUGGAGAGACUGGGGCAGCUCAGGCCAGCAAAGUAUCUGCAGCUGCCACUUGCCUUUCCUACAAAA
ensembl:snoRNA